AACGCACAUUGCGCCCUCCGGUAUUCCGGGGGGCAUGCCUGUUCGAGCGUCAUUACAACCCUCAAGCUUUGCUUGGUAUUGGGUGCUACUGUUUUGGUACACCUUAAAAUCAGUGGCGGUGCCACCUGGCUUCUAGCGUAGUAAUACUCCUCGCUAUGGAGAUGGGCGUGUACUUGCCAUAACCCCCAAUUUUUUAAGGUUGACCUCGGAUCAGGUAGGGAUACCCGCUGAACUUAA
rnacentral:misc_RNA from 1 species